rnacentral:rRNA from 1 species
UACACACCGCCCGUCACACCAUGGGAGUUGGCUUUACCCGAAGGCGGUGCGCUAACCAGCAAUGGAGGCAGCCGACCACGGUAGGGUCGGCGACUGGGGUG